UACGUAGGGUGCAAGCGUUAAUCGGAAUUACUGGGCGUAAAGCGUGCGCAGGCGGUUUUGUAAGUCUGUCGUGAAAUCCCCCGGGCUCAACCUGGGAAUUGCGAUGGAGACUGCAAGGCUAGAAUCUGGCAGAGGGGGGUAGAAUUCCACGUGUGAGCAGUGAAAUGCGUAGAGAUGUGGAGGAACACCGAUGGCGAAGGCAGCCCCCUGGGUCAAGAUUGACGCUCAUGCACGAAAGCGUGGGGAGCAAACAGGG
rnacentral:rRNA from 1 species